rnacentral:rRNA from 1 species
AUGAACCUGCAGGCACUUGGUUGGGCUAAGAGGUUUCUGUUUGUUGAGGAGGUGGAUGAGAGCGCGGCUCCAAUGGAUCCGGUUGUCAUGGUUUCGCUCCCGGGCGCCGUCCAGGCGACAGCAACAUGCAAGGGGGCUGGUAGUUCGCCAGCGCUGGCCAUGAGUGUGGACGCACAGAUCUGCGAGGAGGGAAGGGGCGGGAAGGAUAGACGCGAGUCGUCGUUGGAGGUAUCGGAAAUGUCCAUGGGUAAGAUGACCCCGCUGCUACCUGGAUGGGCUAAGAUGGUGAGGAUAGGCACGGCCGCUCGUUGCAGGAAACCAUGCUCGUCGUGUGUGACUGCAUUUGAGAAAAUUGUAAGGAGGUAUGCAGAGAACCCUUCUGAGAACGUCAUUGUGCCGAUUCUGGGCGCAAGCUUUGAUUCGCUAGGAGAAGCUUAUGAUUUCUGCAACCUUUAUUCCUGGGAGAGAGGAUUUGGAAUAAGGUACAAGAAGAGUAGAGUGAAUGUCGAGAGGAUGAAGGGCAUGCAGGAGAUCGUGUGCGGGUGCUCGGGGAAGGCUGGCGUGGAGAACACUAGGUCCUGUCGGUGUGAGUGUCAUGCGCUGAUCAGAUUACUCAGAUCAGAGGACAAUGAGUGGUACAUCGUUCAUCACAGGAGAAGCACAUCCACUCUCUCUAGCCAAAUUUUGGCAGAAGAUUCAUUGGCCAUCCCACAAACACAUUGA